UCAUCCAUUUAAAGUGUGCAAUACAGUGGUUUUUAGUAUACUCAUGGGUGGGACAACUAUCAUUACAAUCAAUUUUAGAACAUUUUUAUCAUCCCAAAAAGAAAGGCCAUACCCAGUUUAAACUAACAAUCUUAAACACAUUAAGAUGGGUUUAUCAAUAUACUUUUUUUUUUUUUUCAGAGACAGGGUCUUGCUCUGUUGCCCAGGCUGGAGUGCAGUGGCAUGAUCAUAGCUCACUGCAGCCUCGAACUCCUGGGAUCAAGCAAUCCUCUUGCCUCAACCUCCCUAGUAGCUAGGAUUACAGGCACACGCCACCCAGCACACUUUGGGAGGCCGAGGCGGACGGAUUACUUGACAUCACGAAGUGGUGUUAGAUUUUGUCAAAUGCUUUUUCUACAUGUGUUGAGAUGCUGUUUUGGUGUUUGGCCUUUGUCUAUUGAUACGGUGCGUGACAUUAAUUGAUUUUAAGUUGUUAAACCAACCCUGCAUUGUGAGAUAAACUCAACUUGGUCACGGUACACAGU
rnacentral:lncRNA from 1 species